CCUACGGGAGGCUGCAGUGGGGAAUAUUGCGCAAUGGGCGAAAGCCUGACGCAGCGACGCCGCGUGAGGGAUGAAGGUCUUCGGAUCGUAAACCUCUGUCAGCAGGGAAGAACGGUCACGGAGCUAAUCAGCAGUGAAUUGACGGUACCUGCAAAGGAAGCACCGGCUAACUCCGGGCCAGCAGCCGCGGUAAUACGGAGGGUGCGAGCGUUAAUCGGAAUUACUGGGCGUAAAGCGCUCGUAGGCGGUAUGUCAAGUCAAGGGUGACAUCCCCGCGCUCAACGUGGGAACUGCCUUUGAAACUGGCAACCUGGAGUGUGUGAGCGGUUAGUGUACUUCCCGGUGUAGGCGU
rnacentral:rRNA from 1 species